rnacentral:rRNA from 1 species
AAUGGCGAGGGAUCACUUGAUUAGGCGCGGGCCGGAAGGAUUGGCUAGGCUAUGCAGUAAAAAGGCGGAGGAAUAAAGAGAUGGCAAUUUCUGUUUGUCAGCCGCCGCGGUAAUACCAGCUCUCCGAGUGGUAGGGAUGAUUAUUGGGCCUAAAGCGUUCGUAGCCGGCCUUCCAAGUCUUUCGUUAAAUCCAGCGAUUCAAUCGUUGGACUGCGGGAGAUACUGUUAGGCUAGGGGGCGGGAGAAGCCGACGGUAUUUCUGGGGUAGGGGUAAAAUCCUAUAAUCCCAGGAGGACCACCAGUGGCGUAGGCGGUCGGCUAGCACGCGCUCGACGGUGAGGGACGAAAGCUGGGGGAGCAAACCGGAUUAGAUACCCGGGUAGUCCCAGCUGUAAACGAUGCGGGCUAGGUGUUGGAGCGGCUACGAGCCGCUUCAGUGCCGCAGGGAAGCCAUUAAGCCCGCCGCCUGGGGAGUACGGCCGCAAGGCUGAAACUUAAAGGAAUGGCG